rnacentral:rRNA from 1 species
AGCGACUAAGCGUACACGGUGGAUGCCCUGGCAGUCAGAGGCGAUGAAGGGCGUGCUAAUCUGCGAUAAGCGCCGGUAAGGUGAUAUGAACCGUUAUAACCGGCGAUACCCGAAUGGGGAAACCCAGUGUGAUUCGUCACACUAUCAUUAACUGAAUCCAUAGGUUAAUGAGGCGAACCGGGGGAACUGAAACAUCUAAGUACCCCGAGGAAAAGAAAUCAACCGAGAUUCCCCCAGUAGCGGCGAGCGAACGGGGAGGAGCCCAGAGCCUGAAUCAGCAUGUGUGUUAGUGGAAGCGUCUGGAAAGGCGCGCGAUACAGGGUGACAGCCCCGUACACAAAAGCGCAUGUGCUGUGAGCUCGAUGAGUAGGGCGGGACACGUGGUAUCCUGUCUGAAUAUGGGGGGACCAUCCUCCAAGGCUAAAUACUCCUGACUGACCGAUAGUGAACCAGUACCGUGAGGGAAAGGCGAAAAGAACCCCGGCGAGGGGAGUGAAAAAGAACCUGAAACCGUGUACGUACAAGCAGUGGGAGCACAGGUUUACCUGUGUGACUGCGUACCUUUUGUAUAAUGGGUCAGCGACUUAUAUUCUGUAGCAAGGUUAACCGAAUAGGGGAGCCGGAGGGAAACCGAGUCUUAAC